UACGGAGGAUGCGAGCGUUAUCCGGAUUUAUUGGGUUUAAAGGGUGCGUAGGCGGAUCGUUAAGUCAGUGGUCAAAUUGAGGGGCUCAACCCCUUCCCGCCAUUGAAACUGGCGAUCUUGAGUGGAAGAGAAGUAUGCGGAAUGCGUGGUGUAGCGGUGAAAUGCAUAGAUAUCACGCAGAACCCCGAUUGCGAAGGCAGCAUGCCGGCUUCCGACUGACGCUGAAGCACGAAAGCGUGGGGAUCGAACCGG
rnacentral:rRNA from 1 species